rnacentral:lncRNA from 1 species
CCCUGGUCUGCCGCAGGAGACCCUGCCGAUGCCACUCAGGGUCAAGACUCUGGCGCGGUGGAAACCGCAGAGCAAAAGGAAACACAGACAAAAACAGUGAGAAGGAGAGAGAGCAUGUGGGGCUUUGCCAGAGAGGAACUUGGAUGGCAAUCACCUAAGAACUCCAAACUCAGUGCCAGGGCAGACUGGUGUCUAUUUUGCAAUGUCUUCCAGUAGUUAACUUUCUACUUUUAAAAUAAUUGGAAGAAUGUAAGCUCUCAACUAGUCCACUAGUCCUGAAACAAUAGAUACCAGCUGGUAGAGAUAAUAGCUGUCUGGAAGAGAGAGAUACAUACCACAUCAAAAAACAACAAAAAAAGGAUGGCUCAAGUACUCAAAAGGCAGCACUAAAAUAAGGCUAUGUCUCUUCCUGAGAAUACUCUGGACUUCAUUCUCUGAUUAAAGAUCACAACUGCUUCUUCGUUGAGGAAAUCAUGUAUUUCAAAGCCACCAAUGAACAAGGUAAUGGGAUGUAUUGGUCCAGCACUGAUAACAGGUUAUCCUACAAUCAAGUAUACUCUUUCCAGAAAGCUGAGUUAGGUAUGUAACUGCCUUUCUAAGCCAUGACUAUAUUGCUAAAUGAAUCAUUGAUUUGGAAAAUCUGAAGUGACCUUCAGCUUGUUCUCCAGCUCUUCCUCAACAGAAAAGAGAGGCAAAAUCAGCAAAAUAUUGGAAAGAGAUUUUAACCUGAAUGGAAAAGACAAUAUGAGGGUGAUGAAAGACUCUAGAUGGUCCGUCUUGGAGAGAAGGUUUUGCCGUCUUGCCCCAGUUGGUCUCGAACUCCCGGGCUCAAGCAAUCCACCUGCCUUGGCCUCCCAAAGUGCUGGGAUUACAGACGUGAGCCACCACACCCUGUCCAGUUUGUAAAUUUCUUACAAAGCUAAACCUAGUCUUAGCAUACAUUCCUGCAAUUGUUCUCUUAGACCAGUAAUGAGGUGUCUCCUGGCACACAAUCACAAUGCACUGACAAACCAUCUUGGUGUGUGAAAAAGACUCAGAAAAAUCCAAGCAAUGUGACACUACUAGCAAGCAUAGUUCCUCUUCACCAGAGACUUCAGGUCAUAGUUGGGCCUAAGGCAGAGUCUCUUGGCUGGAGAAGUCAUUAUUUAUAGGACUAUAGACAAAGUUUCAUGUCUGAGAGGCUCUUACGUUAUUACAUAGAAAUAAAAUUUUGUUAUCUAUAAGAAUGAUUUGCGUCUUUCUCCUUACGUUAGUAAUCCUAAGAAAAUAUUGAAAAUGAAUCAUUCUUUAAAACAAUUAAACAAUUUACUGAUUAUUUUCACCACUAUAUGAUGCACAUGUGCCUACCAAGAAAUUAGAUAUUUUCUUGUGUGUAGCUUCAUUCAAUAGAGUAAAAUAGAAAACUUUUAUUAUUAAUAAAAAUGUGAAAUUCCAUGUCAUAUACUAUGAUGUAUAAUCUUCUAUGCUUCAUUGUGUCUAUCCUUUAGCAUCACCAUUGACUGACUUCAAGAGUACACUUUCCCCUUACAUAGCUGUGCUAGUUGCUACAGGUAAUAUUUAAAAGCAUAAAAUACAGUCUCUGACUCUGUGCUUUAACUUAAUCCAGUUAGAGAAACAGAAUAUGUGUAAAAAGAUGAAAAAUUACGGAAUUUAAUAAAAUCUAAUUCCAAAUGGAAAACAUAGGCAAGAAAUAUGAUAAGACAUCAAUACCUGAGAACAAGAUUACCAUUGGAGAGGGUAGACCAGGUGCAGUUUUUCUAUGACUAGUAGACUCCAAAAGAAGGGAAUUCUAAACAAGAAGCUAUGUGGAAGAAGCAGUAUAUUUUAAACCCUCAACUCUUGUUAGAAAAAACAAACAUCCUCUGAGGACUUCCUUAUAGGUAGCAAUAUGAUAAGCAAUAAUGCUCUGCAUCAGGAAUGAAAUUAGGUGUUAAAGGAGGGAAGAUCUAACAAGUAGAAGUUAUAAUUACAGACCUUGAAACUCAUGUUCUAGAUCAGCGGUCUCCACCCUUUUUGGCACUAGGGACCAGUUUUGUGGAAGACAGUUUUUCCACGGACCAGGGUAGGAGAUGCUUUUGGGAUGAUUCAGGCACAUUACAUUUAUUGUGCACUUUAUUUCUAUUAUUAUUACAUUGUAAUAUAUAAUGAAAUAAUUAUACAACUCACUAUAAAAUAGAAUCACUGGGAGCCCUGAGCUUGUUUUCCUGCAACUAGAUGGUCCCAUAUGGGGAUGAUGGGAGACAGUGACAGAUCAUCAAGCAUUAGAUGCUCAUAAGAAGCAAGGAACUGAGAUCCUUGCAACCUAGAUCCAUUGCAUGUGUGGUUCACAAUAGGUUUUGCACUCCUGUGGGAAUCUAAUGCCACUGCUGAUCGGACAAGAGGCGGAGCUUAGGUGGUAAUGUGUCUGGAAAUACAGAUGACGCUUUGCUCACUCACCUGCUGCUUACCUCCUGCUGCGUAGCCUGGUUACAAACAGGCCAUGAACUGGUACUGGUCUGUGGCCUAGGGGUUGGGGGCUCCUGUUCUAGAUUUUUAGAGAAGACUACCAUGUAAAAUGAUAGUGAAUAAUUAUUAAUAUUAAUAAUAUAAUAGGUCUAAUUGCUAAAUCAUAUAUCAUAAAAUCUAGCCUUUAUGAUAAUUUACCUUUUAAACAGUCAAUAAAAACUGGAAAAAUCUAGUAGGGUAUCACAACGGUGAUAGGUCUUAACUUGCAUAAUAUUUGAAUUUAUAGAGAGAAUAAAUACCACAUUGAAGUAAAGCACAAAAUAAGCCAUGAAGUCAGUACUCGGUAUUGCACGUUCGUGAGACAGUGAAGAAUUUAAUUCAAUUACAGACAUGCCAUAGGGAAUAAUGAUUUACCAAACUUUAUCGAGUUACGUGAUAAAAAGUGUUAUGUUAGGUAGAUUAAUCAAGGGUAGUGGUUCCAUUCUUUGGUUUUUAGAUGCUAGGAGGGCUGUGGAAAUAAAGUUGCAUGUAGCUCCACAUACACACUGAAACAUGUAUCUACUAAGCAAUAAACAUACUUUCAACAUGUUUCCUUUAAAUAUGUAUAAAUAGGCCAGGCGUGGUGGCUCACACCUGUAAUCCCAAUAAUUUGGGAGGCUGAGGCUGGUGAAUCACUUGAAUUGAGGAGUUUAAGAGCAGUCUGGGCAACAUGGUGAAAUCCUGUUUCUACAAAAAAAUACCCCCCAAAAUGCUUAUAAAUAUGAAUACUACAAUAAAAAUAAAUUUAAUGAAUGUAAGUUCUUGUAAUAGGCCAUUCUAUAUUUUUUCAGUCAACAGAUGUGAUUAUUAUCUUACACUGGGAGAUGCCUACCUGUCUCGUCUCCUCUCCUUUCCUCUCCUCUCCUCUCCUUUCCCUUUUCCCUUCUUUUCUUCCCUCCUCUCCCCUCUCCUUCCCCUUCCCCUUCCCUUCCCCUUCCCUUCCCCUUCCCUUUCCCUUCCCUUUCCCUUCCCUUCCCCUUCCCUACCCCUUCCCUUCUUUGCCUAAGCUGGAGUGCAGUGGCAUGAUCUCGGCUCACUGCAACAUCCACCUCCCUGGUCCAAGCAAUUCUCCCACCUCAGCCUCCCUAGUAGCUGGGAUUACAGGCACACCACCACAUCUGGCUAAUUUUUGUAUUUUUUAGUAGAGACGGGGUUUCACCAUGUUGGCCAGGCUGGUCCCGAACUCCUGAUCUCAGGUGAUCUACCCUCUUUGGCCUCCCAAAGUGCUAGGAUUACAGGCGUGAGCCACCACGCCCAACCUUAAUUUUGUAUUUUUAGUAGAGACGGGGUUUCACCAUGUUGGCAAGGCUGAUCUCUAACUCCUGACCUUGUGAUCUGCCCAUCUAGGCCUCCCAAAGUGUUGAGAUCACAGGCGCAAGCCACCGCGCCCAGCCUCCUCUCCUCUCCUCUCCUUUCCUUUUCACUUUUCCCUUUCCUUCUUCCUUCCCCUCUCCUCCCUCCCCUUCCCCUUUCCAUCCCCCUCCUGUUCCCUUCUUUCCUUUGGCCUUGUGAAGUAUCUAUAUAUUAUUUUCAUUAAAGUGCUGUCAGGGCUGGGCGAGAUGGAUCAUGCCUAUAAUCCCAGCACUUUGUUAGGCAGAAUCAGGCAGCUCACCUGAGGUCAAAAGUUCGAGACCAGCCUGGCCAACAUGGCAAAACCCCGUCUCUACUAAAGAAUACAAAAAUUAGUGGAGUGUGGUGGCAUGCGACUGUAAUCUCAGCUACUCAGGAUGCUGAGGUAGGAGAAUCGCUUGAACCCAGGAGGCGAAGUCUGCAGUGAGCCGAGAACUCGCCACUGUACUCCAGCCUGGGAGACAGAGUGAGACUCCAUCUCAAAAACAAAACAAAACAAAACAAAACAAACAAAAAAAUUGCUGCUAGCCAGGCAUAGUGACAUGCACCUGUAGUUGUAGCUAUUUGGAGGCUGAGGUCAGAGGAAUGCUUGAGGCCAGAAGUUUGAGACCAAUCUGGGCAACAAAGCAAGAUCCCAUCUCUAAAAUACAAAAACAAACAAACAAACAACCAUGCUGCCAACUUACAUUGACAUAUGCUUUUUAAUUAUCAAAUAUAAAAUGUACAGACUAAAUGCUCAAUAUGUUUUCAUUUGUGUUGUUUGUUAUUGGUUUACUGAGUUAUGCUAA